UCCUACGGGAGGCAGCAGUGGGGAAUCUUAGACAAUGGGCGCAAGCCUGAUCUAGCCAUGCCGCGUGAGUGAUGAAGGCCUUAGGGUCGUAAAGCUCUUUCGCCAGGGAUGAUAAUGACAGUACCUGGUAAAGAAACCCCGGCUAACUCCGUGCCAGCAGCCGCGGUAAUACGGAGGGGGUUAGCGUUGUUCGGAAUUACUGGGCGUAAAGCGCACGUAGGCGGAUYAGAAAGUAAGGGGUGAAAUCCCAGGGCUCAACCCUGGAACUGCCUCURAAACUSCUGGUCUUGAGUUCGAGAGAGGUGAGUGGAAUUCCGAGUGUAGAGGUGAAAUUCGUAGAUAUUCGGAGGAACACCAGUGGCGAAGGCGGCUCACUGGCUCGAUACUGACGCUGAGGUGCGAAAGYGUGGGGAGCAAACAGGAUUAGAUACCCUGGUAGUCCACACCGUAAACGAUGAAUGCCAGWCGUCGGGCAGCAURCUGUUCGGUGACACACCUAACGSAUUAAGCAUUCCGCCUGGGGAGUAC
rnacentral:rRNA from 1 species